AAAACUCAACAAGUUCCUCUUAGACUUGGAGGAGAACAUUGCAUUCUCUAAAAUAUUGUUCCUUUAGGCAGAGUUAUAGUUGCUCUUCAGGAGCCUUCAGUUAAUUUACUACUACCAGAAAUUGUAAUAACUUCUGCCUUACACAUACUUAAAUGAGAGAAAUAUUUCUUCUCUUUGAAUAUCGUAUGUGUGGUACAUGAAUCAAUUAAACAAAUAUUUUAAAAUAAUAUACAUAGUCAUGCCU
rnacentral:lncRNA from 1 species